UCUUGGCAAGAGUGAUGAUUCAAUUAGAUGUGUGAAAGGAGGAUAUCUUUUUUCGUGAACUUAAUUGUUUGAGGCAUAACAUGUAUGACUUGCCUGCU